rfam:Triticum aestivum genome assembly, contig: Triticum_aestivum_CS42_TGACv1_scaffold_558315_7AL
AUAGUACUCCUUCCGUUCCAAAUUACUUGUCGUAGGUAUAUUACUUGUCGUAGGUAUGGAUGUAUCUAGAUGUAUUUUAGUUCUAGAUACAUUCAUUUCUGCGACGAGUAAUUUGGAACGGAGGGAGUAGAUA